rnacentral:rRNA from 1 species
AUUGAACGCUGGCGGCAUGCUUUACACAUGCAAGUCGAACGGCAGCACGGGCUUCGGCCUGGCGUCGAGUUGCCGACGGGUGAGUAAUUCAUCCGAACGUGCCCAGCAUUUGAGGAUAGCACGGCUAAGGCCGGAUGAAUACCGCAUACGACCUUAGGUUGAACGCGGUGGACCGAAAGUCCUAGCGCUAUUUGCUGUGCCUAUGUCGGAUUAGCUAGUUGGUUGGGUAAAGGCUUACCAAGGCGACGAUCCGUAGCUGGUCUGAGAGGACGACCAGCCACACUGGGACUGAGACACGGCCCAGACUCCUACGGGAGGCAGCAGUGGGGAAUUUUGGACAAUGGGCGAAAGCCUGAUCCAGCCAUGCCGCGUGAGGGAAGAAGGCCUUCGGGUUGUAAACCGCUUUUGUUCGGGAAGAAAUCCUCUGGGCUAAUACCUCGAGGGGAUGACGGUACCGAAAGAAUAAGCCACGGCUAACUACGUG